rnacentral:rRNA from 1 species
GACGAACGCUGGCGGCGUGCUUAACACAUGCAAGUCGAACGGAAAGGCCCUGCUUUUGUGGGGUGCUCGAGUGGCGAACGGGGGAGUAACACGUGAGUAACCUGCCCUUGACUUUGGGAUAACUUCAGGAAACUGGGGCUAAUACCGGAUAGGAGCUCCUGCUGCGUAGUGGGGGUUGGAAAGAGUCGGCGGUUGGGGAUGGACUGGAGGCUUAUCAGCUUGCUGGUGGGGUAGGGGCUUACCAAGGCUUUGACGGGUAGCCGGCCUUAGAGGUGGGCCGGCCUCCAUGCGCCUGCGGUACGCCCCAGUCUGCUAUGGUCCGCAGUAGGCGGGAAUCUUGCACAGCGGGCCCAAGUCUGAUGUGGCAACGUUGCGUGCGUGAUGAUGUGUUUCGGGUUGUAAACCGCUUUGUACUGUGCUGAAGACUGCGUGACGGUAAUGGGUAAGGAAGCACCGGCUAACUACGUG